GUAGAGGUCAUUCGUUACAUAAAUUAUAGCAAAAGUAUGAUUUUUGGUGACAUUCACAACAUUAACAAGGCAUCAUUAUUUUGCAAUACCAAUCAAUGCGUGUUGACAAUGUAUUAUUAUUCACUUUACUACGAAUUGACAUUACAUUUAUUUGUAGUGCUUCCAUUUCACUUUCCACUCAACGAUUGGUCGAGCAGAGAGUCAAGGUAGCUACUGGCUUCGGGUAAAGUCAGAGACGGUGGGUAAUGAAGGGUCCUUGCUAUUCUGGGUCCUUUGGAUGUCGCUAUGCCAUUGAAGUUGACAUUUAAAAUUGUUAAAGUAAAGAUUAAGAUUAUGGCAAAAUAAAAAUUAUGGUUAGGGAUUAGAGUAAGGACGUCCCAAGGAUCCCGGAUAGGACUGUCCCUUGAGUAAGGACUGUCCUUUGUCUCCAUGGCAUAACCGUGAUUAAUUUAACCUUGUGUCUUGUUCCAGUGCAAGGAAACACAAAGACACACAGCAGUAGAAAUAUGUAUUGGAAAACAAAUCAGAAUUUCCCCUGCGUCAGGAAUUCCAUGAAGAGGUGUAGCCUACCCCAGGCUGCAAUACGAUCACCCGUCCGACCGGUGUGGCGGUGCGGAGGGUGUUGGCUGGUUGGGCUGAAGGGCAGGGCGCAUACUUCGUACUGGUUAUGCUGUAGACUACCGGCUACUUUGCGCACUGUCUGUCUGGAUCUAAUCGGCAGCCGAAAGUGCCCAACGCUUUCUAUCGCCGCUUUGCUAUUUGUCCAUAGAGACACUUGGAUUUGUACGUGCGCGUCAUUUCUGACCUGUGGAGUGAUUUUACGCACAGGCAAUUUGGGACUGAUCUUAUCGAAUCCGAAUGGAAUCAAACGGCAAAGCGGGAAAACAUGCGUGAACCUCCUUGCCAUCCAAGUGAGAGGAUACACCCACUGGGACACCACAGAGGAUAAACCCACUGGGACACCACAGAGGAUAAACCCACUGGGACACCACAGAGGAUAAACCCACUGGGACACCCCACAGAGGAUAAACCCACUGGGACCCACAGAGGAAAACCCACUGGACA
rnacentral:lncRNA from 1 species